CGUUGAAGUGAUGAUAUCAUAUUCGGAAUUCAUAUCUGUCGAGUUUAAUAAUCAGACUACAAUUAUCUGAUCUCCG
rfam:Vigna radiata var. radiata cultivar VC1973A chromosome 3, whole genome shotgun sequence